rnacentral:lncRNA from 1 species
AGGGCAGGGCUGCCUCCCACGGCAGGGGCAGGCAGAGGCCUCUGCGCCAGGUACAGCCUAGGUACCUCCUAUUCCCGUGGCAGACCCUGGGCCCCAAAUCCAGCGGGAGGCCUGGGAGCAUCUUCUCUGCCUGAGUCACCGGGCUGGGCCCAGGACCCCAGCCAAGGGCUUUGCCUCUGGGAAGAAAAGAGCUUCAGAGUCCAGCAAAACCUGGGAAGCAGGGGGAAGAUUCCCUAGCAGGUGCUAUUUGAGCAGAGGCCUGGAGGAGGGAGAUUAGCAAGUAUUUGGUGUUAGAGGCAAGUUAGCACCACACAGAGACUCUUCUGGAUAUAAAGGAAAGACUGUAAAGAAUUUGCAGAGAGAAUAACUCACACUAUGUGACCCGAGGUGAUUUUAUGCUUUGCCUGUGCAGCCUAUAAAAUAAUCUUGUGUGGUCCCCGUGAUGUACAUCAACCAGGAGAUGCUGGAGAGUCUGAGACAGCGUGCUGGCAGCACUCUGCCAGGGGAAGGACGCGGAGGUGUCCAGGCUCGGCUCCAAAAGCAGACAAGCCUGCACUGCGCUGGAGCAGGUGAGGAAUAGCUGGGUUCCACUGUGCCCUUUUCGUCUGUGUCCCUUGCCACCCAACACGAGCUCAGCACAUAGUUGAUCUUCACUAACUAGUCACCCCUCCAAGCUUUUGCAUUGGUUGUUCCCUCUGCUAAAGAUACCCCCUUUCCCAUCUUGACCACCAGACUAACUCUUAAGCUCAGCACCCAGGUGCCUCCUCCUUCUUCUCCUUGGUACAUGAGUGCCCCGCUUGGCGUUCGCUUUGGGGUGUCUAUACACACUAUUUCCUCUGCCUGGAGUAUCUUCUUCCAUGGGGCAGGGGUCAGUCAGCACCUUCUGUACGCAAAGGACAGAAAGCCAGUCCCAACUGUUUUCAGCCAAAAAUGGGAAAGACAGUGGCUCACAUAACUAGAAAGUUGAAGGUGCCUAAUUUCAGGUACAGUGGGAUCCAGGAGUUCAAAUCCUGUCCAGCUCUGUGCUGCUUCCUCUCAGGCAGGCUUUUCCCUUGUUUUGUCCUCUUUUUCUCUAAGCGUUCACUUGCUCACUGUCCAUCCAACGGAAAAUGGCAUCUCCUUCACAAAUCAUGGCCAACCCGAAAGUCCCAGGAUCAAGUUUCAUUGGGCAGGCUCAGUCAUGUGCCCAUCCCUGAACCAAUCACUAGAGCAAGACCCGGUCCCAUGUCCACCCCUGGAGACAGAGGCCUCUGGGCACCCCCAGCCUCAUGGACUGAGAAAAGGGAAGAGGGAGUUCUUCAGUAGGAAGUCGAGGUGCUGUUACCUGAAAAUGGGAGAUAGAUGCUGACUUGUCCACACACCCGCACCUUCUCCCAGCAAACUCUAGCUCGUCUCUGCACAUUGUAUGACCUCAGGCCAACCCCUUCCUCUCUCUGGGUCUCAUGUUCCUCCUCCGGAAAAUGGGCAGGAGGCCGUUUGAAUUCCAACAUUCCAGAAUUCUGGGACAGCUUCCAGGACUGGAGGCUGCUCCCUAGAUCCCAGGAACGUUCCAGCACUUCUGGGGACGGAAGUGGAGCAUCAGCCAGAGCCCUCCCUGGCCCCUGGCCUGGGAACAUGCUUAGAAGAUGACAAUUGGGCUCCCUUUGGCCGAAAUUCCACUCCCGUGGGGGCCUUGCCAAGGAAAACAAGCCCAAGAACCAGGCAUUAAAGAAUACUACAGCCUGGGUAAUUUACAAAGAACAGAGAUGUAUUUCUAACAGUCCUGGAGGCCAGAGAGCCGAAGAUGGAGGGGCUCACUCAAGCAGGGGCCUUCUUGCUGUCAUCCCAUGGAGAGGGCAUCCCAUGGCGAGGGCAUCCCAUGGCGAGGGCAUCCCAUGGCAAGAGGUGGCACGUGAGCAGCAAGGAAUGGCCAAACUCACUUUCAUGACAAAUCCACUCUCUCCAUCAUGAAGCCACUCCUGCAAUAACGACACUAAUCCAUUCAUAAGGACAGAGCUCUCAGGACCCAACCACCUCUUAAAGGCCCACAUGACCUUUGGGAGACACGUUGAGACCCUGGCGAUGCGGGGUGAGAACCUGGCCCCUCCCCAGGGCACUGUGGUUGUUUCUCUCAUAUAUGCCAGAUACUGCGCCUCGCAGCCACUUCGUCCCCCUGUUGCCUCAGUUGGAGGCCAAAAGUGACACAUCAGGCCACAGCCACCUACGCCGUCAGCCAUCUCAGCCUCCGUGACCUGAAGGGAAAUGAUGAAAGACUUUUCUAGAAGUAAAUGAUUUUUAAAACA